CGGAUUGUAGGCUGAAACUCGCCUACAUGAAGUCGGAAUUGCAGUAAUCGCGGAUCAGCAUGCCGCGGUGAAUACGUUCCCGGGCCUUGUACACACCGCCCGUCACACCAUGAGAGUUUGUAACACCCAAAGCCGGUGGGGUAACCUUUUGGAGCCAGCCGUCUAAGGUGGGACAGAUGAUUGGGGUGAAGUCGUAACAAGGUACC
rnacentral:rRNA from 1 species